AUUGAACGCUGGCGGCAGGCCUAACACAUGCAAGUCGAACGGUAGCACAGAGAGCUUGCUCUCGGGUGACGAGUGGCGGACGGGUGAGUAAUGUCUGGGAAACUGCCCGAUGGAGGGGGAUAACUACUGGAAACGGUAGCUAAUACCGCAUAAUGUCGCAAGACCAAAGAGGGGGACCUUCGGGCCUCUUGCCAUCGGAUGUGCCCAGAUGGGAUUAGCUAGUUGGUGAGGUAAUGGCUCACCAAGGCGACGAUCCCUAGCUGGUCUGGGAGGAUGACCAGCCACACUGGAACUGAGACACGGUCCAGACUCCUACGGGAGGCAGCAGUGGGGAAUAUUGCACAAUGGGCGCAAGCCUGAUGCAGCCAUGCCGCGUGUGUGAAGAAGGCCUUCGGGUUGUAAAGCACUUUCAGCGGGGAGGAAGGCAAUACGGUUAAUAACCGUGUUGAUUGACGUUACCCGCAGAAGAAGCACCGGCUAACUCCGUG
rnacentral:rRNA from 1 species